CCACAAUGAUGAGCUUCCACUUCUGGUCCGUGUUUAUGAAUGCUGUGAUUUUUGUAUGAAGUUCUGAGUCA